GAUGAACGCUGGCGGCGUGCUUAACACAUGCAAGUCGAACGGUGAACGAGGGAGCUUGCUCCCUCCGGAUCAGUGGCGAACGGGUGAGUAACACGUGAGCAAUCUGCCCUGGACUCUGGGAUAAGCGUUGGAAACGACGUCUAAUACCGGAUACGAGACGUGAAGGCAUCUUCAACGUCUGGAAAGAACUUCGGUCCAGGAUGAGCUCGCGGCCUAUCAGGUAGUUGGUGAGGUAAUGGCUCACCAAGCCUACGACGGGUAGCCGGCCUGAGAGGGUGACCGGCCACACUGGAACUGAGACACGGCCCAGACUCCUACGGGAGGCAGCAGUGGGGAAUAUUGCGCAAUGGGCAAAAGCCUGACGCAGCAACGCCGGGUGAGGGAUGACGGCCUUCGGGUUGUAACCUCUUUCAGCAGGGAAGAAGCGAAAGUGACGGUACCUGCAGAAGAAGCACCGGCUAACUACGUGCCAGCCGCCGCCGUAAGAC
rnacentral:rRNA from 1 species